UACGUAGGGGGCAAGCGUUAUCCGGAUUUACUGGGUGUAAAGGGAGCGUAGACGGCUGUGCAAGUCUGGAGUGAAAGGCAUGGGCUCAACCUGUGGACUGCUUUGGAAACUGUGCAGCUUGAGUGUCGGAGAGGCAAGUGGAAUUCCUAGUGUAGCGGUGAAAUGCGUAGAUAUUAGGAGGAACACCAGUGGCGAAGGCGGUCUGCUGGACAGCAACUGACGCUGAGGCGCGAAAGCGUGGGGAGCAAACAGG
rnacentral:rRNA from 1 species